rnacentral:tRNA from 1 species
GCCUGGCUGGCUCAGUCGGUGGAGCACGCGACUUGAUCUUGAAGUUGUGGGUUCGAGCCCCACACUGGGCG